GACGUAGGGCGCGAGCGUUGUCCGGAUUUAUUGGGCCUAAAGCAUCCGUAGCCGGUUCUACAAGUCUUCCGUUAAAUCCAACUGCUUAACAGGUGGGCUGCGGAAGAUACUAUAGAGCUAGGAGGCGGGAGAGGCAAGCGGUACUCGAUGGGUAGGGGUAAAAUCCGUUGAUCCAUUGAAGACCACCAGUGGCGAAGGCGGCUUGCCAGAACGCGCUCGACGGUGAGGGAUGAAAGCUGGGGGAGCAAACCGG
rnacentral:rRNA from 1 species